rnacentral:ncRNA from 1 species
CCCGAUUAAAGGCAAAGCCAUUGAAAAAUGGCGGCGCAAAGCUAUAGGGGCUAAGGCGAACAACGCUAUGCCAGCCAGCUGCCGGG